rnacentral:rRNA from 1 species
CUACGGGUGGCAGCAGUGAGGAAUAUUGCACAAUGGGGGGAACUCUGAUGCAGCAACGCCGCGUGGAGGAUGACGCAUUUCGGUGUGUAAACUCCUUUUAUAUGUCAAGAAAAUGACGGUAGCAUACGAAUAAGCACCGGCUAACUCCGUGCCAGCAGCCGCGGUAAUACGGAGGGUGCAAGCGUUACUCGGAAUCACUGGGCGUAAAGGACGCGUAGGCGGGUUGGAAAGUCAGGUGUGAAAUCCUACAGCUUAACUGUAGAACUGCACUUGAAACUUCUAAUCUAGAGUAUGGGAGGGGGAGAUGGAAUUAGUGGUGUAGGGGUAAAAUCCGUAGAUAUCACUAGGAAUACCUAAAGCGAAGGCGAUCUCCUGGAACAUUACUGACGCUAAGGCGUGAAAGCGUGGGGAGCAAACAGGAUUAGAUACCCCCGUAGUC